GAUGUUUUUGAUGAGAACAAAGAUGGCUUUAUCGAUGCCAAAGAGUUGCAUAGAGUUCUCUCCAUUCUGGGAUUGACACAAGCAGCAGAACUUGAGAACUGCCACAAGAUGAUCACAAUCUUUGAUACAAAUCAAGAUGGAAGAAUAGAUUUCAUUGAGUUUGUAAAAAUUAUGGAAAAUCGCUUCUGCUGAUUUGUUUGAUUUAUAUAUUAAUAUAUGAGUUAGUUUAAUAUGUUCUUUUGAGUUCUUCCUUCUUCAUAAUGUUAUCAUCGAUAUCAGAAUCUACCCUGUUGAAAGUUAAGUUCAUUGGAAUAUUGUAAUCAUCAUCAACCCUAAAACACUCUUGAUGGAAAUGCUCUGCAUGAACUUAAAAUCAACGAAUUAAACAUAGCAAGGAAAAGUAUAAUAAAUAUGAAGUGAAUUACGAAGAAACUUAGAAAAGACAACUGUGAGAUAAACCAAUUUCUUCAAGCCACAGUUUCUCAUGAAGUUUUCCGUAGAAGAAUCAAAUUUAUCUGGUUUUUUAGUCCCUUGCCUUUUAACCAUAUAUAAUACACAAGUUAUUUCUAGAAACAUGAAAGAAAGAAAGGUAACAUACAAUUGAAUCAGAUUAAGUAUUUCAGCCAGUCUGUUUUGUAACACAGUGAGUUUUAGGAUUUCUGAUUCUUCUUUGUUGUUGUGUAAAGUUUCUUCACACAUGAUGCAUGUUAUAUAUGUGUAACAUGUUUCAUGAAACUUAUAAUCUGUUUCUAAUUUGAUUAUUUUUUCGUUUGUGUUUGGUGAUAAUAAGUUUGGUGGUAAUGUUCAAUCUAUAACCAAGAAUUGGUGGAUACACCACACAUCUUUUUUAUGGGUUUAUGAAGCAAGAACUUAUCUUAAGUUGCCUGAAAGGUCUCUUCAGUACCUUAUAUUUUCUUCAUUGAUCUUUUUUCUGCAUUGGAGUUGUCGAUGAGUCAGGUGUUCCUUGUCUUCUUUUGGUUGGUUGACAUGCUUCAUGGCAUGCUACCGUUUUCUCUCUUUCAUACCACUGAGCUUCUCACAGCAGGAAAUCCAUAAAACUUGCCCUGUUAAAAUUGUCAAAAUACCAAGACGAGAGAAAAUAUAGUGUAUAGAUGAUUUCUUU
rnacentral:lncRNA from 1 species